CCCACCAGGUCUCCUGCUACCUCAGUCGAAUACGUUUUCGUGUACGGGACGAACUCCCCGCAGAACGCCCACGAAAAUCUCCGAUUUCGGCUCAGAUUUUAACCCCUUUUCCACGAAAUUUCGUCUAUAAAUACCUCCAACUCUGUGCUCGUUUUCCCCUCAAAAACCCUAACAAAUCAGCCGCCAGGCUGCCGGAUUUUGAGCUCGCCGCCGCCGCCAUCUUGAAGUUUGAAGAUCACCGGUAGUCUCGUGAUUCCUCAUCGGAGCUUCGCCGGAGUUUGCGACCUCCAUCCGCCCGCCACGGUCGUUCAGGUAUGAGCCAGUUGACUCCGAGGAUACGUACGUGACCACCGCGAGGAGUUGAAGAUCGUCCACUACCGCGCCACCUCGGGAGAACGCCGUAACCAGAACCACCAUCAACGAGCUGCAGUUCAUAUUUUGGCCGAUUGUCCGGAGUGUAACGAGUGCGACUGCGGUGAUUGUCUGAACAACAACGAAG